CCUACGGGUGGCAGCAGUGAGGAAUAUUGGUCAAUGGGCGCGAGACUGAACCAGCCAAGUAGCGUGAAGGAUGACUGCCCUACGGGCUGUAAACUUCUUUUAUAAAGGAAUAAAGUGAGGCACGUGUGCCUUUUUGUAUGUACUUUAUGAAUAAGGAUCGGCUAACUCCGUGCCAGCAGCCGCGGUAAUACGGAGGUGACGAGCGUUAUCCGGAUUUGUUGGGUUUAAAGGGAGCGUAGAUGGGUUGUUAAGUCAGUUGUGAAAGUUUGCGGCUCAACCGUAAAAUGGCAAUUGAAACUGGCAGUCUUGAGUACAGUAGAGGUGUGCGGAAUUCGUGGUGUAGCGGUGAAAUGCUUAGAUAUCACGAAGAACUCCGAUUGCGAAGGCAGCUCACUGGACUGCAACUGACACUGAGGCUCGAAAGUGUGGGUAUCAAACAGGAUUAGAUACCCCUGUAGUC
rnacentral:rRNA from 1 species